rnacentral:rRNA from 1 species
AGCAUAAUCAUUAGUUUAUUAAUUGUAAACUUGUAUGAAUGGUUUGACGAAAUAUUACCUGUCUUAUUUAUAUUAAUUGAAUUUAAAUUUUUAGUUAAAAUGCUUAAAUUUUAUUAUAGGACGAGAAGACCCUAUAGAUCUUUAUUAUAUUGGUAUUUAUAUAGUUAGGAUUUAUUUAUUUAUAAAUAUUUAUAUUUUUUUGUUGGGGUGACAUGGAGAAUUCUUAUAAACUUUUUAUUUUUUUUUACAAUGAUUAUUGAAUUUUAGAACUUAUUGUAAUGAUAUAAGAUUAGAUACCUUAGGGAUAACAGCGUAAUUUUUCUUGAGAGUUCUUAUUAACGGAGAAUAUUGCGACCUCGAUGUUGGAUUAAGAUUAUUAUCAGGNGAAGAAGCUWGAUUAAWAGGUCUGUUCGACCUUUAAAUUCUUACA